rnacentral:rRNA from 1 species
AUUGAACGCUGGCGGCAGGCCUAACACAUGCAAGUCGAGCGGAGCGGCGGACGGGUGAGUAAUGCCUAGGAAUCUGCCUGGUAGUGGGGGAUAACGUCCGGAAACGGGCGCUAAUACCGCAUACUAUCAGAUGAGCCUAGGUCGGAGUAGCUAGUUGGUGGGGUAAAGGCCUACCAAGGCGACGAUCCGUAACUGGUCUGAGAGGAUGAUCAGUCACACUUGAACUGAGAAACCGUCCAGACUCCUACGGGGUGCGGCAGUGGGGAAUAUUGGACAAUGGGCGAAAGCCUGAGGCAGCCAUGUCGCGUGUGUGAAGAAGGCCUUCGGGUUGUAAAGCACUUUCAGCGGGGAGGCGUUACCCGCAGAAGAAGCACCGGCUAACUCCGUGCCAGCAGCCGCGGUAAUAC